UACGUAGGGUGCGAGCGUUGUCCGGAAUUAUUGGGCGUAAAGAGCUUGUAGGUGGUUUGUCGCGUCUGCUGUGAAAAUCCGAGGCUCAACCUCGGACUUGCAGUGGGUACGGGCAGACUAGAGUGCGGUAGGGGAGAUUGGAAUUCCUGGUGUAGCGGUGGAAUGCGCAGAUAUCAGGAGGAACACCGAUGGCGAAGGCAGAUCUCUGGGCCGUUACUGACGCUGAGGAGCGAAAGCGUGGGGAGCGAACAGG
rnacentral:rRNA from 1 species